rnacentral:tRNA from 1 species
GGACACUUAGCUCAGUUGGUUAGAGCAUUCGGCUUACAUCCGAAAGGUCGCUGGUCCGAAUCCAGCAGUGUCCA